AUAACUCCGGGAAACCGGGGCUAAUACCGGAUAAUAUUUUGAACUGCAUGGNUCGAAAUUGAAAGGCGGCUUCGGCUGUCNCUUAUGGAUGGACCCGCGUCGCAUUANCUAGUUGGUGAGGUAACGGCUCACCAAGGNNACNAUGCNUANCCNACCUGAGAGGGUGAUCGGCCACACUGGGACUGAGACACGGCCCAGACUCCUACGGGAGGCAGCANUAGGGAAUCUUCCGCAAUGGACGAAAGUCUGACGGAGCAACGCCGCGUGAGUGAUGAAGGCUUUCGGGUCGUAAAACUCUGUUGUUAGGGAAGAACAAGUGCUAGUUGAAUAAGCUGGCACCUUGACGGUACCUAACCAGAAAGCCACGGCUAACUACGUGCCANCAGCCGCGGUAAUACNUANGUGGCAAGCGUUAUCCGGAAUUAUUGGGCGUAAAGCGCGCGCANGUGGUUUCUUAAGUCUGAUGUGAAAGCCCACGGCUCANCCGUGGAGGGUCAUUGGAAACUGGGAGACUUGAGUG
rnacentral:rRNA from 1 species